rnacentral:rRNA from 1 species
CCUUAGGCAAAUCCGGGAUCACUUACGCCGAGCACCGAGACGAGUCCUAUGAGGACGAAGUGACUGACACCACGCUUCCAGGAAAAGCCACUAAGCUUCAGCUUAAGAAAAACCGUACCGCAAACCGACACAGGUAGGCAGGGUGAGAAUCCCAAGGCGCUUGAGAGAACUCGGGUGAAGGAACUAGGCAAAAUGGCACCGUAACUUCGGGAGAAGGUGCGCCCUUUGGUGUGGUCACGUGCGUGACUGAGCAUCGAAGGGUCGCAGUAACCUGGCCGCUGCGACUGUUUAUCAAAAACACAGCACUCUGCAAACACGAAAGUGGACGUAUAGGGUGUGACGCCUGCCCGGUGCUGGAAGGUUAAUUGAUGGGGUCAGCCGCAAGGCGAAGCUCUUGAUCGAAGCCCCAGUAAACGGCGGCCGUAACGAUAACGGUCCUAAGGUAGCGAAAUUCCUUGUCGGGUAAGUUCCGACCUGCACGAAUGGCGUAACGACAGCGGCGCUGUCUCCACCCGAGACUCAGUGAAAUUGAAAUCGCUGUGAAGAUGCAGCGUUCCCGCGGCAAGACGGAAAGACCCCGUGAACCUUUACUAUAGCUUUACACUGAACGUUGAGUUCUUCUGUGUAGGAUAGGUGGGAGGCUAUGAAACCAGGACGCUAGUUCUGGUGGAGCCAUCCUUGAAAUACCACCCUGAAGUGCUUGACGUUCUAACCUAGGCCCGUAAUCCGGGUCAGGGACCGUGUAUGGUGGGUAGUUUGACUGGGGCGGUCUCCUCCCAAAGAGUAACGGAGGAGCACGAAGGUACGCUCAGCGCGGUCGGACAUCGCGCACUGUGUGCAAAGGCAUAAGCGUGCUUGACUGCGAGAUCGACGGAUCAAGCAGGUACGAAAGUAGGUCUUAGUGAUCCGGUGGUUCUGUAUGGAAGGGCCAUCGCUCAACGGAUAAAAGGUACUCCGGGGAUAACAGGCUGAUACCGCCCAAGAGUUCAUAUCGACGGCGGUGUUUGGCACCUCGAUGUCGGCUCAUCACAUCCUGGGGCUGUAGCCGGUCCCAAGGGUAUGGCUGUUCGCCAUUUAAAGUGGUACGCGAGCUGGGUUCAGAACGUCGUGAGACAGUUCGGUCCCUAUCUGUCGUGGGCGUUGGAGAUUUGAGGGGGGCUGCUCCUAGUACGAGAGGACCGGAGUGGACGUUCCGCUGGUGUUCGGGUUGUCAUGCCCAUGGCAUUGCCCGGUAGCUACGAACGGAAGUGAUAACCGCUGAAAGCAUCUAAGCGGGAAGCACGCCCCAAGAUGAGAUCUCCCGAGAGCUUGACUCUCCUAAAGGCACCAUCAAGACUAGGUGGUUGAUAGGUCAGGUGUGGAAGCGCAGCAAUGCGUUGAGCUAACUGAUACUAAUGAGCCGUGAGGCUUGACCU